ACACAGCCACAGCAUUUUGUGCUGACCAUAAGUAAUGCCUCAGUGCAUUUGAUAUUCCCUAGCAUCGCAUUAGGAUUAAAUCAUGAUGGACCCACUUUCGAUCCUUCUGAACAUAGAGAAUGGGCCCGUCAAAUUGAUGACAAAUGGCAAACUGUCAAUUUAGAGUCCUGUACUAUCCGAGAACAACUAGGGUUUAUCUGUGAAGGUAACGCAAUUAUAGCUCAAGAUAUCUGUUUAGACACAGAACAAAAUAGCUGUCAUUUUGAUAUUCAUCCUAACGAGACUUCUGAAACAGUCCUUGUAUCUACAGGCAAUGGGCGUGCCUGCUUCAGAACCGCUUGUGAUACUGUGUUUAUAGAAAGUACAGUAGUAGCUACUAAAAAUCAUUCAAAUUAUUGUGCUUGCAACUUUACUAAAAUUGCAGGAUGUGAUUUUUCUUUUGUAGCUCCAGUUACCUUACAUGAACUUUUAGAAUCCAAUCUCAUGUUGAUUCACAAGCUACUGCCUACUCCCAUUGGGAUGAACCUUACUUUGGUAAAGCAACCAUUACUUCAUCAAGAUCUAAUAGAGAUCCUAGGAAAAAUCAAGGAGAAUGGACAGAGAACUCUGUCCUGAAGACUCCACGACGACACCAUGGAACCCUGCUGAUGAAGAUCUUUCGAGGGCAAUCGUCAGUCACGGGGUGGUGUAAGAGCCCGUCUGAAGCCCCUCAUUUUCCGUUCUGCCUUCCGAUUGCCACGAGAAAGAAUCCCUUCCUCCACUGCAGUUCCGGCUUAGAACAGGACACAGUGCAGGUGCAACCACUGAACCGUCAUGCUAGCUGUUCCGAACAAGGCCUGGCAAGAACUCGGCAAGGACUUGGCAAAGACCUGACGUGGACCCAGCACGGGACAGCCUGAUGCGCGGCCUGCUUCUAAUCUCCGUUCUUAAGCCAAAUGAACUUUUGGGGUGACUCCCGGGGUCCUUCAUUGAAGACCCCUCAUCUGCCUCGUUACCACUGUGACAAACAAAGAAUGAGAACCCUCCUCCCAAGGACUGAGACUGAGACCCCUGCUACAGGGAGGAGGGGAAAUUGGUGGUCUGACCACUAAUGACAUGACCUGUUUCCCUUCAGUGAUUCAAAUGGACUCAUUCUUCAUUGGAUUCGUCUUGCUUUGGUGGUUUCUGUGGACUCAGCUGUUCCCGCGUGGCGAUUACAAUGGACUUUCGUUGUUCCACUUGCUCCCCCCUCUUUCCUCUGUGGACUAUAACUGGAGCCCCGAGUCGACCAGAACUACGGAGACUCCCCCGACACGACAGACGGAUCCCCAUCGUCCGGACCACUGAGGAUCUCGCCUGUGUUGGUAGCUAUUCCCAUACCCCUCUUCUCUCUCUCUCUCUCCUUUUAUCUCCUUUCCGAUCCCCACUAUCGCAUUUACUGGUUUGGCCCCUAAUAAAGGUGCAUUUGUUGUGAUUAA